rnacentral:rRNA from 1 species
GAUGAACGCUGGCGGCGUGCUUAACACAUGCAAGUCGAACGGAAAGGCCCAAGCUUGCUUGGGUACUCGAGUGGCGAACGGGUGAGUAACACGUGGGUGAUCUGCCCUGCACUUCGGGAUAAGCCUGGGAAACUGGGUCUAAUACCGGAUAGGACGAUGGUUUGGAUGCCAUUGUGGAAAGUUUUUUCGGUGUGGGAUGAGCUCGCGGCCUAUCAGCUUGUUGGUGGGGUAAUGGCCUACCAAGGCGUCGACGGGUAGCCGGCCUGAGAGGGUGUACGGCCACAUUGGGACUGAGAUACGGCCCAGACUCCUACGGGAGGCAGCAGUGGGGAAUAUUGCACAAUGGGCGCAAGCCUGAUGCAGCGACGCCGCGUGGAGGAUGACGGCCUUCGGGUUGUAAACUCCUUUCGCUAGGGACGAAGCGUUUUUGUGACGGUACCUGGAGAAGAAGCACCGGCUAACUACGUG